CACGUAGGGCGCAAGCGUUGUCCGGAAUUAUUGGGCGUAAAGAGCUCGUAGGCGGUCUGUUGCGUCCGCUGUGAAAACUCGGGGCUUAACCCCGAGCCUGCAGUGGAUACGGGCAGACUAGAGGUAGGUAGGGGAGAAUGGAAUUCCCGGUGUAGCGGUGAAAUGCGCAGAUAUCAGGAGGAACACCGGUGGCGAAGGCGGGUCUCUGGGCCGAUACUGACGCUGAGGAGCGAAAGCAUGGGUAGCAAACAGG
rnacentral:rRNA from 1 species